CACCAACUGACGGGAGUAAAACAAUUCAGUGCCUUCCAGAUUUCUACUAGAGAACUCACAAUCAUAGCCUAUACAGGUACUUACUGCUAAAUUACUUCAGCAAGGAUACCCUGCUGUAUAAAUGGGAAGUACCACAAAAAGUACUCCAAGCUUGGUGAGAACCACAACUUGCUUAAGGGGUUCCAUAGUGUCAAGACCUCCUGACCUCCUCACUGGUUGCAGAAGCCCCAGGCCACGUACCUCC